rnacentral:tRNA from 1 species
AUAUCAUUAGUAUAAUUAAUUAUACUAUUUUUCCAAAGUAGUGAUCUAUUUUUAGAUGAUAUA